ensembl:lncRNA
CAGUUCCAAUGUAUCUGUAAAUGCAUGCUUUGGAAAAGAGAUGUUGGAGGAAGGGCUGCUAGUGUCUGUCUCAUUUCUGUCCUAAGGGUCCUAAAGGAAAUAAAGGAGAAAAUGGCAGCCCAGGACUCCCUGGCUUCAUAGGACCCCGAGGACCACCUGGAGAACCGGGAGAAAAAGGCUCUCCUGGAAAAGAGGGUGCACCAGGAAAACCGGGUGAAAUUGGCUCCAAAGGAGAGAGGGGAGAGCCUGGCACCAAAGGCGAAAAAGGCCCUCAAGGAGAAAAAGGCCCUCCAGGUGAUCCUGGGAUACCUGGUC